AUUCCAUUAGCUUUAUUUUGACUGAAUUCAACAUGGGGUGACAAAAACAAAUGUUACCACUAAAAUUGAGUAUUACAUGCAGACACUGAUCUUUGCACUCCUUGUAUUUGUUUUCUACUUUAAUCCACAUUAAUGUAAAAUACAUGGUGUCUUACUAAAAAUUUCCAUAUAAAUCAAGAUUUAAUAAAUUCCCUUUAAAAGGUUUAUUCUUUUAUUAUUGAGAAUUUUAUAUAGUCUAUAUUGACAGUUUCUUUGAACAGAUGUUUACAGGAUUAAAUUUUUUCACAAAGGGCAGGCAAAUAAAACUUAAUGUAAAACCUGUGUUUUCCAGAAGCUACUUUCAUUCUCUUCAGGGUGUUUAGUUCUAGAUGGUUCUUCCAGUUUCAUAAGAUAGUGAAGAGUGGUCAAUAGUCGACUUUAUUUAACUUCUAGAAUUCACUUUCAGGGAAUGAGUGGGAUGCCAGGGGAGAGUGAAAGAUUCAGGUUCUGGGGAGACUGAGGGAUCAUAAAUGUUACGGGGUAAGGGCAAAUCGAGGGGAAAAAAUAAAAACAUGCUCCUGCAGGUCAGUGAGAAGCUAAAAUGGGAGUUACAAUGAAGGAGUAGGGCAAUGUGAUUAGGUUGCUACACUUUCUGAAGAAAGUAAUUACAAAUAGAAAUCAAAUAACAAUUCAUAGUGACAUUUAAGUGACCAAUCACUAACAGUUGUGGCAGACAAAAGAAAGAUGACAUUAUACCUUAUCCCUGAUUCAUUCAUUUUAAUAGGCUGGUAUGUGACACUACUGUGGGUGAAAUCAUAAUGAAAUCGUUCUGUGCUAAGGUGAUCAGCUUCCAUGGGGUGCUUUCUUUAUACUCUGUCCAAUGGUAUAAACUCCAGUGAUUUAUGCCUCCUGGAAGUUUUUCAGCAAUAUUAAAGGUAAAGCACUGAUGAGACAGCCAGUGGAGAACAUGUUUCCAGGUAGCCUGAAACCCAGCAGACAAUGUAGCUGUUGCCAAAUAAACACAGAAAUCUACAUUGUAUGCCAGGUUCAUGCCACAGACCUGGAUAUUCAGCCCAGGAGUUUUCCACAUGAACUGUUUCAAAAGAAUUGCCUGCUGCAUUCAAGAUGUCAAAAUUGUUAUGUGUUCUCUACCACAAGGAAAAAAGGCAACCAUAAGGAAAAAAGGCAACCUCAAGUCAGAAGUUUGGGGACUCAGUACAAAUGAAAUUACCUGAAAAUAUCAUAUCAAGUUGUCAUUAUUUAAUCAUCCUGUUAUUUUGAAAACACCCUUUAAAAGUAAAGAGAUGUGUACAUAGAUGAAUGUAUGGAUGGUCAGGUAGGCAGGUAUAUGAGUGGGUGGAUGGGUAGAUGGUAUCUAAUGCAGACUGUAAGAAUAUCCAGAUUCUACCGACUUCUGAUAUCAAAAGCAAAUAAAUAUACUUCAUCAUUCAGACAGCCAGUUUCCUAAACCCAGCUAAUAAUGGAAGUCUUAUACCUCAAAAGUCUGUGUGUAUGUGUGUGUGUACAUGUAUAACUCAAUAUAAAGCCUUCAUUAUUAAAGACUGCCCAAAUGAUCUUGCUCACGGCACUGUAACAGAAGCCAAAUGAUGCCGUCAGAGACCCAGUAGCCAGAUGUAGCUGCUGAUUACAAAAGACAGGAUCUACACUGGCUACUGAGCCAUUGAGGGCAUCUACAACUUGCAGCAACUGGACGAUCUACAGCCAUCUCAGGAGGGAUGCUGUGGAAGGAAAGAAAAAACAUGUCAAUGCUGGAAACUAAUGUGCAAACAAUUUCAAGACUUCAUUUCCAUAUUUUCUCUUGGUUCUGAAUGGAUAUCUUGAAAAUAACUCCACUUACGCAGUUUCAGACCAUCUUUAUAUUCAAUUAUUUAUUCAAUAAGUCCUGAUUGAGUGAUUUUGAGUAAAGUAUCAAUGUCUUUGGGGCUGGAGAUGCAGCAGCAAACGAAACAGUUGAAUUUCUCUGAAACACACACACUUUAUUAUUGAGGUGCUUUCUCUAUAUUCUGUCCAGGUAGCCUGAAACCCAGCAGACAAUGUAGCUGUUGCC
rnacentral:lncRNA from 1 species